rnacentral:rRNA from 1 species
UACGUAGGGUGCAAGCGUUGUCCGGAAUUAUUGGGCGUAAAGAGCUCGUAGGCGGUUUGUCGCGUCUGCUGUGAAAUCCCGAGGCUCAACCUCGGGCCGCAGUGGGUACGGGCAGACUAGAGUGCGGUAGGGGAGAUUGGAACUCCUGGUGUAGCGGUGGAAUGCGCAGAUAUCAGGAAGAACGACCGAUGGCGAAGGCGGGUCUC